rnacentral:rRNA from 1 species
AGUGAACGCUGGCGGUAGGCCUAACACAUGCAAGUCGAACGGCAGCACAGUAAGAGCUUGCUCUUACGGGUGGCGAGUGGCGGACGGGUGAGGAAUACAUCGGAAUCUACUUUUUCGUGGGGGAUAACGUAGGGAAACUUACGCUAAUACCGCAUACGACCUACGGGUGAAAGCAGGGGAUCUUCGGACCUUGCGCGAUUGAAUGAGCCGAUGUCGGAUUAGCUAGUUGGCGGGGUAAAGGCCCACCAAGGCGACGAUCCGUAGCUGGCCUGAGAGGAUGAGCAGCCACACUGGAACGGAGACACGGUCCAGACUCCUACGGGAGGCAGCAGUGGGGAAUAUUGGACGAUGGGCGCAAGCCUGAUCCAGCCAUACCGCGUGGGUGAAGAAGGCCUUCGGGUUGUAAAGCCCUUUUGUUGGGAAAGAAAAGCAGCAGGUUAAUACCCCGCUGUUCUGACGGUACCCAAAGAAUAAGCACCGGCUAACUUCGUG